rnacentral:rRNA from 1 species
GACGAACGCUGGCGGCGUGCUUAACACAUGCAAGUCGAACGCUGAAGCUCAGCUUGCUGGGUGGAUGAGUGGCGAACGGGUGAGUAACACGUGAGUAACCUGCCCUCUUCUUUGGGAUAACGCCCGGAAACGGGUGCUAAUACUGGAUAUUCACUGAUUCUCGCAUGGGGGUUGGUGGAAAGGUUUUUUCUGGUGGGGGAUGGGCUCGCGGCCUAUCAGCUUGUUGGUGGGGUGAUGGCCUACCAAGGCUUUGACGGGUAGCCGGCCUGGGAGGGUGACCGGUCACAUUGGGACUGAGAUACGGCCCAGACUCCUCCGGGAGGCAGCAGUGGGGAAUAUUGCACAAUGGGCGAAAGCCUGAUGCAGCGACGCCGCGUGAGGGAUGGAGGCCUUCGGGUUGUAAACCUCUUUCGCUCAUGGUCAAGCCGCAGCUUUGGGUUGUGGUGAGGGUAGUGGGUAAAGAAGCGCCGGCUAACUACGUG